CCUACGGGCGGCAGCAGUGGGGAAUAUUGGACAAUGGGGGGAACCCUGAUCCAGCCAUGCCGCGUGUGUGAAGAAGGCCCUCGGGUUGUAAAGCACUUUCAGUGAGGAAGAACGCCUGGUGGUUAAUACCCAUCAGGAAAGACAUCACUCACAGAAGAAGCACCGGCUAACUCCGUGCCAGCAGCCGCGGUAAUACGGAGGUGCGAGCGUUAAUCGGAAUUACUGGGCGUAAAGCGCGCGUAGGUGGCUUGAUAAGCCGGUUGUGAAAGCCCCGGGCUCAACCUGGGAACGGCAUCCGGAACUGUCAAGCUAGAGUGCAGGAGAGGAAGGUAGAAUUCCCGGUGUAGCGGUGAAAUGCGUAGAGAUCGGGAGGAAUACCAGUGGCGAAGGCGGCCUUCUGGACUGACACUGACACUGAGGUGCGAAAGCGUGGGUAGCAAACAGGAUUAGAUACCCGAGUAGUC
rnacentral:rRNA from 1 species